ACGCUAGCUAUAGGCUUAACACAUGCAAGUCGAGGGGAAACGGCAUUAUGUGCUUGCACAUUUUGGACGUCGACCGGCGCACGGGUGAGUAUCGCGUAUCCAACCUUCCCUCCACUCGGGGAUACCCCGUUGAAAGACGGCCUAAUACCCGAUGUUGUCCACAUAUGGCAUCUGACGUGGACCAAAGAUUCAUCGGUGGAGGAUGGGGAUGCGUCUGAUUAGCUUGUUGGUGCGGGUAACGGCCCACCAAGGCUACGAUCAGUAGGGGUUCUGAGAGGAAGGUCCCCCACAUUGGAACUGAGACACGGUCCAAACUCCUACGGGAGGCAGCAGUGAGGAAUAUUGGUCAAUGGACGUAAGUCUGAACCAGCCAAGUAGCGUGCAGGAUUGACGGCCCUAUGGGUUGUAAACUGCUUUUGUUGGGGAGUAAAGUGAGGCACGCGUGCCUUUUUGCAUUUACCCUUCGAAUAAGGACCGGCUAAUUCCGUGCCAGCAGCCGCGGUAAUACGGAAGGUCCAGGCGUUAUCCGGAUUUAUUGGGUUUAAAGGGAGUGUAGGCGGUCUGUUAAGCGUGUUGUGAAAUUUAGGUGCUCAACAUUUAACUUGCAGCGCGAACUGGCGGACUUGAGUGCACGCAACGUAUGCGGAAUUCAUGGUGUAGCGGUGAAAUGCUUAGAUAUCAUGACGAACUCCGAUUGCGAAGGCAGCGUACGGGAGUGUUACUGACGCUUAAGCUCGAAGGUGCGGGUAUCGAACAGGAUUAGAUACCCUGGUAGUCCGCACGGUAAACGAUGGAUGCCCGCUGUUAGCGCCUGGCGUUAGCGGCUAAGCGAAAGCAUUAAGCAUCCCACCUGGGGAGUACGCCGGCAACGGUGAAACUCAAAGGAAUUGACGGGGGCCCGCACAAGC
rnacentral:rRNA from 1 species